rnacentral:rRNA from 1 species
GAUCCUGGCUCAGGAUGAACGCUAGCUACAGGCUUAACACAUGCAAGUCGAGGGGAAACGACAUCGAAAGCUUGCUAAGUUUGAUGGCGACCGGCGCACGGGUGAGUAACGCGUAUCCAACCUGCCUUACACUCUUGGACAGCCUUCUGAAAGGGAGAUUAAUACAAGAUGUUAUCAUGAGUAAGCAUUUUCGCAUGAUUAAAGGUUUACCGGUGUAAGAUGGGGAUGCGUUCCAUUAG